UGUCCAGGGAUGGAAAUCGAACCCACAGUUUUCCGCUUACCGGGCAGAUGCCAUGUCCACUAGGUUACCCUUGAC
rnacentral:tRNA from 1 species